rnacentral:rRNA from 1 species
CACGUAGGAGGCGAGCGUUAUCCGGAUUUACUGGGUGUAAAGCGCGUGCAGGCGGUUUGGUAAGUUGGAUGUGAAAGCUCCUGGCUUAACUAGGAGAGGUCGUUCAAUACUAUCAGACUAGAGAGUGGUAGAGGAAGAUGGAAUUCCCGGUGUAGUGGUGAAAUGCGUAGAUAUCGGGAGGAACACCAGUGGCGAAGGCGGUCUUCUGGCCCAUUUCUGACGCUCAGACGCGAAGGCCAGGGUAGCAAACGGG